rnacentral:rRNA from 1 species
AGCUCCAAUAGCGUAUAUUAAAGUUGUUGCAGUUAAAAAGCUCGUAGUUGGAUUUCUGGCUCGCUGCGCCUGGCCCGCCCGCGUUAGCGGUGUGAGUGCCGGUUUUGCGCGGUAGCCAUCCUUCUGGAGAACGGGCCUGCCCUUCACUGGGUGGGUCCGCGACCCAGAUCGUUUACUUUGAAAAAAUUAGAGUGUUUAAAGCAGGCAAUUGCUCUGAAUACAUUAGCAUGGAAUAAUGACAUAGGACUUUGGUCCUAUUUUGUUGGUUUCUAGGACUAAAGUAAUGAUUGAUAGGGAUAGUUGGGGGUGCUAGUAUUGAGCGGCCAGAGGUGAAAUUCUUGGAUUCGCUCAAGACUAACUUAUGCGAAAGCAUUCACCAAGGAUGUCUUCUUUAAUCAAG